GCAGCAUCAGCUCGAGCUCUGAGAGGAUUUCUGUCGUCUUCUCUCUUCUCUGGACGGCUUGCUUGCAGAGAGAGACUCUGCCCAUGUGCUCUUCUGAUUGGCUGUGAUUUUUAUUGAUUUUGUCAAGUCUGGACAGAAAAUAUCACAUCUUUGUGAUAUUCUGGUCUCCACUGGCUCGAGUCCUUCCUUCAGUCAAGACCCGUGGUUUGAGGACUCAUUCACAUCUGGAGCACAAACACUGCAUGAUGAACAACAGUAAUACUCGCCAUGACGGUGACCUGUGACUUCUCUGCAUUUCUCCCCUCUUUUUGGAAACUCCGAUUAGGUUCCCAUGAGUGCGGACAGCGGGCGGCUGUUUGUUUAAUACGAGGGGAUAAAAUGAUUAUAUAAGAAUGAGCCAGGAGCCGGGGGAAGAUGAGCCGACCUCUGCCCCGCUCUGUGGGAGACCGGCGGGAUGUCUUCUCUCUCACGGACCCCCGCGAUCCGAACAUCAAGAAAUCCUCAGACAUUCUCCAGAACCUUCUCGUCUGUUUUCCUUUACAUUUUAAUUUUCCUUUCAUUUCAACAAUGCAGUCGGGUUCUGAAGUUUACCUGGCCAUUCGCCACGCAGACUAGUACAGAAGAUGUUUUAUUGAAAAUGGAAUUAGGCUUGUAUAGCAUAACAUAACAUAUGAUUGUUGCGAUUAGCUUUUACAACUUAAAAUUUGGUGUUACACUGGAAAAAAACUAAAAACGGUAACUCUAAAUAAACAUGUUUUUAUUACAGUAAAAAUGUUAUGUAACAAAAAAAAAAUUUUAGGGGUUAAAUCAACAGAUUUUUAAGGUAACAGUUGCAAGUUACCACUUUUUUAUAGUUUACAAUAACUUUCCCGGAUUUUCCAAGCGGUCACACCUUCACAUUUCAAGUUGACUAAACUUAAUUUUGAUUUUUAAUUAACUUUAAGGCAGUAUGAAUGUUUACUUUUUAAGUUGAAACAACAUUGUUGUUUACAGUGACUUGAUUUUAGAUCAUUGAGGCAUUUCUGAAAUCAUAUAUAUACAUAUAACUAUUAAAAUAUACUGUAGCUUUAAGUUUUAAAGGCCUAUUGUUGUUGUAUUGUAACUAAGCUGCAAGUACAUCUGGUAACGAAAUUUACAUCUGACCACUGACAUUUACAUGUCAAUGAUACCUGUUUGGUGUCCAAAGUCUGGUCCACUCAGUUGUGGUGAAGUGAAGUAGUUGCUAUUAUUCCUAAACAGCAAAAGAACUAAAAAUAAGAGUUAAAAAUGUCAGUUUACAUACAAUCUUAAAAAUAAAGGUUCCAAAAUGGAGCUUUGGGCAAAAAACUUUUUUUUUUUUUUUUCCUUUCAGUGAACAGAUCUGAAAAUAAACAUUUUUCUUACUGUAAAGAACAUUUAAAAAAUCUAAAGAACCUUUUGUGGAAUGAAAAGAUUCCAUAGAUGUUAAAAAUUAUUUUUGGAACCAUCAGUGCCCAUAAAGAACCUUUAUUUUUAAGAGUGUAGCGUUUACAGGAUGAAAUAUACUCUGUAAUUUAACUGAUGAUUUGAAAAGAUUGUAAAAAGGUUAAUUUGGACCAGUGUAAUUAAAGAAAUCAACCACGAACCUGCGUAAACGAUUGAGUAAACAGAACCUCCCUUGAGUAUUUACAGAACAACGUUUAAUUUACUGUCAAGACCAGCUGCAGCUCAGAAAAAAGCCAUGGGAUUAGUUUGCCCUUUCACACACUAAACAUUUCGGUUACCUGCUUUUUUCAGCUAAAUUCACUGUGAUCCAAGUACUCAGAAGAAGAGGUGAACCAGUUCAGAAGGCUGUAAGGGUUUACAGAUAUACUUGGGCCUCCUUUAUUCCACUUUCAGGCAGAUAGUUUACCAAAGGAAGAAAUUCAGCACCAGUACACCUCACUCUGGGACAAGACGCCCUACAAAGAUUGGUGUGAGGGUAAACUGUAAAAACCUCAAACAAGUGACACAGAACCAUAGGAUGACAGCGAAAGAUAGGCCUUGAUUAAGAUAUCCAAACACAUGAUAACACCAGUCUAGCGAAAGAAAAACACUGACAAAACUGUGUUCAUGGGAGGCUAUCACAGAAAAAAAGCACUGAUUUCCAGAAACAAAACAUUGU